GUGGAGGGAUUGAUGAAGAGACGCACCAGUUGCCAUGGCGUUUCUGACUUGUUGGUAGAGUGGGUGCUCUUCCAAGCCUCCACGGACCAUUGUUGUUCAGGAAGGAAGAUCCACCUCAUUUUUUGUCCAUUCUGAGGUAUGGGUAGUAAAAGGAUUUGGGUAAAAGUGGCCAAUUGGAGCAUAGCAAUUAAGGUUUCAAUGACAAAUGAUAAAAUCCAACAACUUAGAUGAAUUCUGGAAGGUAAACCCCCAAUAUCAGAUGAAUGGGAAAGAGCAAGAUGCUGUUCAAAUGAACUUCACCUUGCCAUGGGACCUGAUUGAGGGGGCAAAACCAUGUAGAUGGAUGUCAUUUCAAUGGACUCUGUUGAAUUAGGAGGCUGACUAUCAGGUGUUCGGGUCAAUUCUGUGGCUAAGCAACUUUUCAGUUCUGCCAGCACUUGAUUUAUUGUUGGCCUUCUCUCAGAAUUAACUGCUACACAAGCCAUUGCUACUUCCACUGCUUUUCGAACAGAUCGUAUGUUAUAUUCUCCUUUUAAUCUUGGGUCUCCUAUAUUUCGAAUGUCACCUUGUGCAACCAUGGAACCAAUCCAUUUAACUAUAUGAACUGAAUUCUGGCCCUGGGAUUUUGAUAUCACUGGUCUGCAACUCACUAUCUCCAACAGAGCGAUGCCGAAGCUAUAUACAUCACUUUUUGGACUCAGCCUGUUUGAUGUUUUGUACCUAAAAGACAGGGCAUAAAGUUUCUUCAUAUUUUUCUUUCACAUUUUCUUUUCUUUUUAGGAAAAACUAAAUGAUCUCAUUGAGAAAUGUCUGAAAUUAGUAGUUACUCUGGGUCAAGGUAACCGGUCUUAUCAUUUGUUGGGUAGCUCUUGGAAAGACCAAAGUCAGAAAGUUUAGCUUGGAAAUUUUCAGUUAACAAGAUGUUUGCUAGUUUCACGUCUCCAUGGACAAUUGGUGGCUUACAACCAACAUGCAGAUGUUCUAGUCCUGCAUUUAAUAAACUCGAUACGGCACAAGGUUUUCAUUUUGUAGAGGACAAAAGCAAAACUUGAUAAUGUAUUUGUGAAGAUAUUUGAAAGGAAACUUAUCUCACCUUGAGCUGCAUCCAUUGCUAUUCGGAGUCUAUCUUCCCAACUUAUGACAUUGGAACUUAUCUCUGCAUAUCCAAUAAAAAGAACAGGGAAGUGUUUUCAUUCUUUUUAUUUAAGUGGAACUAAAAUUUUCAGUAGAACUUGGAAUGUGAUGCACGUGUUUCAAAUCUUUGCUAGAUGUUAAAAGCAAACGUUACCAGAAAGGCGCUGUGCUAAAGUUCCAUUGGCCAUGUACUCAUAAAUGAGGCCGAGAUGAGUUCCUUCGUUCAAAUACCCUACAAGGUUUGUCAAGUUUCGGUGGUGAACUUUAAGGAGAAUGGUAACCUGUAUGAAAGGGCAUCUUUUUAGUCUGAUAAGCAAGUGUGAGCUAAAUAUUUUUUAUUAGAAUAUCGAAAUAUGAGAUACUAUAUACAAAUACAUUCCUCUUCUUUAAAUUGAUCGUGGCCUUGUAUUGCUGAUGGUGCUAGCAUCUUCACAGCCACUUGAAUAUCAUCAAUCAACCCAUGGUAAACUGCUCCAAAACUACCUCUACCAAGAAUCUGGUCAAAAUUGUUGGUCAUUGUCACAACUUCAGAGUAAGUGAACUGCCGCCUUCUCGUUUUCAAAGAACUGCUUCCAAUGCUCGGGUUGGUUUGCGGACGAUCCACCUCCAAGACCUCUUUACCUUUUUCUUUCCUUUUUCUUCUUGCAAUACAAAAGAAAAUCCCUGCAAUUGUGGAAAUAGCAAGUAGGCCACCAACCGAUGCUACUACUGGAAUCACAAACUUAUUCUUUUUUUUCUGCUUCUCCCCUUUCUGUUCCUCAGUGCAAUCACUUAAAGGAUGUGCUUCAAGAUUUGGAUUACCUUUCACGCUGUCAUCAAUAAAUUUUCAUUAGUAGGCAUGUUAGACGUAGAACUUGAAAUUGAAAUAUUACUUACAAGUCCAGCUAUUCUAAGAAAGAUACCUCAGUGAUAGUGAAUUAUCAUUGAAUCUUCUUAAGAGUACAGGUGGAAUUGGACACGAGAGAUUGUUGUUCUCCAAGUUUCUGUAAAUAGAGAGAAUACGUUUUCAGUUAUCCUACAAACUACCUGGUCCUUGACUUUUUUUAUUUAUUUUUUCAUUUUCAUUGUAAGUAACUUACAGGACUUUGAGAUUUGACAAUUUGGACAGAGAAUCAGGCAGUUUUCCUGUUAAGCCAUUGUUUGACAAGUCCCUGAAAUUAAAACUCUAUUUACUAUAAUUGCUUUUAAGAUUAAAUUGGAGAUCCUAGUUUAGAUAUUGUUUAAAGUAAAGAUACUUACAGGGUUUCUAGGGCUGCUAGAUUGGAUAGAUCUGGAGAUAUGUCUCCUGUCAGACCACUUGACGACAAGUUCCUGUAAGUUUUUUAUUAGUGUUUUUUUUAUCUCAAUGCAUAUGUUUGGCUGGGAAACUUGGAUGAUUUAUUUUCUAAGUAAAAAGCAUGCAUAUACUUACAAUGAUAUGAUUCUUGGGAUUGACUCAUUGGUACAACCUACACCAUUCCAAGGAUAUGCUUUGGGGAUGCAUGGAUCUCCUUGCCAAUCUUUGAUGACUCCGUAAGUUGACUUUAAUUUUCUCAUUGUGUCCACUGAUUUUCAGUGUAUUGCAUUCAUGAAAUCAAUACUCAAGAUUAAAUUAUUUGCCAUCAGAAUGUAAAAGCCGAAAAUAAGAAUCUAACAAUGGAAAGUCAAGUCAUCGUACCAUCUUCCUGAUCUGAUUCUAGUUCUGAGAUCUCAAUUCUGAAAUAUACUUCUAAAGCAUUGAUGAUUGGAGGAAGUGUUGAAUUGUCAGUUCGAAAAAAUGAAAGGUUGUGUUGUUUUUGUGGGAAUUCCAAUGGUUUGGUUUUAUAAUAGCUGCUUGGAUACAAGUAAUCGGGAAUAAUAGGUCCAUCCCAAUAUUUCCCGUUAUGACUGAUGUUGAACCCUCGGAAUUGCUUACGUGGAAGCUUUAUCAACUCUGCAAAGUGAAAGUAUAUAUAAUACUGGAUAUUUUCAUCAUCUGACUUCCACCAAAGAUUAAUAGAUGAACUCGUGUUUUUUGGUGCUAUAGCAGUUUCCAUGACUAUGGCUGCUGGAUGGUACUUGUUGUGGCCGUCAACAUUUACAGUAAGAGAGGUGUUUAAUUGAAUGAAAUAAUCGUCAUCAUGGAAAGGAUACCAAAUUCGAUCGAAAACAUCAUAAGGGUACCUGAAACAAAGGGGCACACGCACAAGAAAUAUUCCUUUUAACCAUAUUAGAAAUUUCUUGCUGUGAUAUACAAUAACGCAUGGCAAAGUUGAUGUAUCAAUAAUAACUUACCUGUAUUUUUCAUUUGAUCCCGACCCCAUAUUCAGUCGAUCAAAAGUUGACAAGGAUCCAAAUUGAAUUGGGUAAGUAUCUUCUGGUAAAGGUCUAAAUUCCAAUGCAGAGAUGAAAGGUAUUCCAGUUCCCGUAUUUAUUAGACAGAUUUGAACUCUAUUUACUGAUGGAAUAUGUAUGAUUUCUUUGUAGACCUCACUUGCUGUGUACUCAAUCAUCACUUUAUCCCACAGGCUAUCUCCAAAGUAGAGAUCAAAUGUUGUUUCUGGUUUCUUGACGAAAGCUUCUAAGGGACUGUAGUUGUCUUUGAUAGAAGCUCUUGAAGUUUGCGUUUAUGGUUUUGCUUUCGCCACUGUUUAUAUAUGCUGCAUCUGAAAUGUAGUCAAUGCUUGUUGUUGGCUCCUUGUAUGUUGAAUUUUCCGCAAGUACAAGAGCUAGACCAACCAGAAAAGAUCUCGUUGUUGCGUUCAUUAUCAUGCCUUGGGAAUUUCUCUCAGAUUUGCUGCAGAUAAGAAUUCAAGUCAGUUAUCUUGGCUUGCUAGGCCUUCCAAGACUUGGUCAUCUAUUAGAAUACAAACAGUUGGACAGAGAGAAUUUCAGCCCAAUCAUUGGCAUCAUGCUUUCCUUAGCAACGUUAUUAUUUAGACUUUACAAGCCCUUUAUUUUAUGCCCUACUUUCCCCUUAGCAGUACUAGAAUUGAUAUGACAUUUCUCUUAAAGGUUCUAUUUUUCAUUUCCAUGGUUAUUGUAAUAAACAAAGGAAAUUUGAAACUUGGUGAGCACCAAUUAUUUGAAUGAUAAUGGCAAUGUACUUUAUUCCAUCUUAAUCUAUUCAUUAUUCAACCUUAGCAGAUACAAAGUCGAUAGUUUAGGUUUAAUUAAACUAGAGAGUUUAAUCUGUCAAAAUUCUAUAUUCUCAUAAAUUAGAAGUUUUGGACUUAUCAAAUACAAAAUUAAGAGAGGUUUAUGAAUUUAAACUUAUAAAAUACAAAAGUAAGCUUUUUGGAUCUUACUUAGGUUUCAAAAUGUAACCUUUUCUACUUUUCAGAUUCAAGCAUUUUCAUGAAUGCUGGCUUUGUUCACUAGUGUUAACUUCUAACUAAUUUCAAAUAAUUGUGAUGGUCAUAGAAAUAAUUAUUAUGAAAUGGAUCAGAGACCACCCAAAGAAGAAGCAAUUAAAGCACGGUUUUUAUUUAUUUAUUUUUUACAUGAAGUCGAAAUUUGUACGUUUGGAAGUUUUAAAAACACACUUCAAUGAUACAUUCUGAUAUUCUGAUGAAUUUCACCUCGCCAUGGGACCUGUUUGAGGUGGCAAAACCAUGUACAUUGAUGUCAUUUCCGUAGAUUCUAUUGAGUGAGGAGCUUGAUUCUCUGGUGUUCGACUCAGUUCUAUUGCUAAACAACUUUUCAGUUCUGCCACCACUUGAUUCAUUGUUGGCCUUCUCUCUGAAUUCACUGAUGCACAAGCCAUUGCUACUUCCACCGCUUUACGGACAGAGAUACUAGAAGAUUACCAUAAAGGUGCUGUGCUAUACUUCCAUUGGCCAUGUACUCGAAAAUUAGGCCAAGUGAUAUGAUUCUUGGGCUUGAUUCAUCGCUGCAACCUAUACCACUCCAAGGAUAUGUUCUCGGGAUGCAUGGAUCUCCUUCCCAAUCGUUGAUCACUUUAUACGACUUGAACUUGAAGCAGAGUGCUGUUGUUCCGGAGAAGAACUAUCAGCUUUUCAACCUAUUAAAGUGCUUAUGUAUACACUUGAUACUGAUUUCUUGAUAUUACAUAUAUCGUUUUCCGUAGUUGGCAAUGGAAUUUCAACUACAUGAUUUUUUUAUUACAUACAUAGUGAGGAGACUUCAUAAAAAUAUUGAUUACUUAUUCAAAAUCAGAAGUUCAUUUAUUUUAUCAAAAGCCAUUAGCAUCCUAUGAUAAUUACAUUUAUUGGCUUAAACAAUAUCAUGUCAGAUGUAUGGACAAAAUUUGAACACUGUUCUACCGUUACUUUAAAUUUGGCAAGCUAA